CAUGUCCUUUAGAUUUUAAUUUAAGGUCUAAUCUGCUCAAUGAUUAAUUAAAUAGCCACGGUAUUUUGACCGUGCGAAGGUAGCAUAAUAAUUAGUUUUUUUAUUGGAAGCUGGAAUGAAUGAUUGGACGAAGGAUUGACUGUCUCUAUAAUAUUAGUUUUGAAUUUAACUUUUAAGUUAAAAGGCUUAAAUUGUUUUUAAAGACGAGAAGACCCUAUAGAGUUUUACAUAUUUCUUUUUAAAAGUUUUUUAGUAUUGGUUUAUUUUUUUGAUUAGUUUGUUUGGUUGGGGUGAUUGGAAGAUUUAUUUAACUCUUCUAUGUUUUUUCUACUCAUUAGUAAUUUUUGUUUCUAUAAUUUUAAGUUUAAAUUAAAUUACCUUAGGGAUAACAGCGUUAUUUUCCUUUAGAGUUCUUAUUGUGAGGGAAGUUUGCGACCUCGAUGUUGGAUUAAAAUUUAUGUUAGGCGCAGUAGCUUAUACGUUUAAGUCUGUUCGACUUUUGAAAUUUUACAUGAUCUGAGU
rnacentral:rRNA from 1 species